UCUUUCCACCCACUGGCGAGUGUGAGCUUACAUGUGCAAGGGAUGAGAGUCAGAGGCCUGUCUUUACAGAACCUUGCUAAAGACAUUUCCUGUCCCCUUUAUCUGCCUGAAAACCUGCCCUGUUCGCACCCACCUCUAAGGAGCUCAAGUAAGAGAUGCCUCAACUUACCCACCUAUCUUUAUUUGGGAGGCAAGUGCCAUAGCUAAGAGGGAGAAACUGCCAGUCACCAUGGUAACUUCAUGGCAGAGCUAAGAGUAGAACCCAGGAGUCCUAGUAUCCAGUCUGGCUUUUGAACCAUGUGAUUACAUACUCUCCUUAGUUCAUUUUGUGCAUUACUUUUCAGCUGGGAUUAAAACUGCUUUUUGAGGAAGGCUGCAUGGUUACCAUUAUUCAAGGUCCAGAAAGACAUCCCACUUGAUAAUCACCUCAGCUGUAAGGGUGGCAGAAUUCCUUAGCCAUAGGGGCCUGUCUUAAAACCACUGCAUGCCCCAAAAAGGGCCAUGUUAACGACCCUUCUGAUAAAGUGAGAAAAUCUGUGUUUGUCAAGGUGAAAUAAUAUGAAGCUGCCUUAUGUUUCUUGGCGUUACAAUUUUCGUCUCUGAUUUAAUUGCUCAUCCAGCUUGGGAACCUUCUCUACAGCCUGAGAUGGAAACAGAGUCAACUAUCCCAAUUUGGCAGAACAAACCCCAUGGCUCAUCACGCAGUGUUGUCAGGAGGAUUGGGACAAACCUUCCUUUAAAACCCUGUCCUAGAGCAUCCUUUGAGGUUCUACCAAACAUUUCAGAUCUGUAUCUAAAUGAUGCACCUCCAGUCCCCACUCUGGCAGAUAUUGCAUGGAUAGCAGCAGAUGAAGAAGAAACAUAUGCUAGAGUCAGGAGUGACACACGUCCAUUGAAGCACAAAUGGAAGCCCAGCCCGUUCUUUGUUAUACAGCGAAAUGCUUCAGUCCCCAACUUGAGAAAGCAGGAAGAGAAGCUGCUGGUCUUAAAGAAACCUGGUUUACCGGCCCUCAGUCGGACGACGGAGCUUCAAGAUGAGCUGAGCCUCCUGCGGAGUCAAAUAGCUAAAAUUGUAGCUGCAGAGCCAGCUUCCGCUUCAUUAACGCCAGAUUUAUUAUCUCCAGGAAGUUCAAAUGUAUCUUCUCCCUUACCUUGUUUUGGAUCCUCAUUCCAAUCUACAACUUCCUUUGUCAUUAGUGAUAUCACAGAGGAGGCAGAAUUAGAAAUCCCGGAGCUUCCAUCAGUUUCCAUGCUUUGUUCUGCAACCUCUGAAUGUUGUAAACCAGAUCCAAAGGAUGCUGACGAGGAAGAUUCUGUGUCUCUUUCGAAGGCCAGCAGUUUUGCGGACAUGAUGGGCAUACUUAAAGACAUUCAUAGGAUGAAACAGAACAAAGAUUUGUGGAGAUGCCAUUUACACCUAACAAGAUGAUUAAAUCCGUGCUUCUCUGAUGCUCCUGUUUAGGAAUUGGUGUUAAAACCCACAGCCUGGAAGCUUCAGGAAUGAGCAUGAGACACAUUUGCAUGUUUCCACCAUUAAAAUCAGAAUAGAGCCCUUGUAAUAUCUGCUGCCUUUUGGAAAGGAAUUGUCUGUGUAGUGUUCCAGCUGAUCCGUUCAUUCAGUGUGUGGUUAAAAACAUUUAGCGUGAGGAUCUGCUUUGAAUGAACCGAACUUUAUUGAAAGAGGAAGACCCGGCUGUUCUUAUAUCAGAAGUGUUAAGAAGAAAAUUUGCUCUAAAGGAUGAAGAUGUAACCAUGAAAGAGAACUGACAUUACACUUUCAUUUAAAUCUGUAAGCAAGUGUAUCGUGCUCCUGAGAUUUUUCUCCACAGUAGCUGCCUUCCUAAGGAUCAAACUUUCUUGCCUCUUUACUAAUUAGAAAUUAUUUCUGCACUGGAAACUUAUUCAAGAAAGCAACUGUGGAUUUGCAGUGUUUUCCAUGUCUCUAAAUAUAUAAAAACUUUCUAAGAAAGGAAAUUUUUCCACAUAUUUUGAAGCAUUACUGGUAACAGUGUCUUCUACAGAGUGAUGCGAGUGUUGCUAAAUGAAGUUCUCUUCCUAUCUGUGUUUUCCCCAAGGUGACUUUAACUUGAAUCAUUCAUUUGGCUCAUGAUGGUCUUGUUGCAAUAUGACUAGCUACUAAUUUAUAAUAUAAAUGGACAUAAAGCAUCUAAUUCUUUCUCUGAUCAGGGGAAGUCGGGUGCAAAGCUAUCAAUAAGAGUAAAUUGCUUCUUCCUUCCAGGCUGUCAGUUUUUAGGAAGUUCUGAUUGUAUUGAGGAUGGUUUAAGAGCUUGCGUUAUUAUCUCAAAAAAGGAUUCCCUUUCCCUAAAGUUUCUUCCAAUUACUUUCCUGUCCCAUUUAGGACAAGAAAAAUUAAAGUGAAUUAUCAGACCAUUUAACCACACUCAAUUUGCUAGACUGGUGUUGGCUGGUGAGUGACUUUUUAAAAUAGUUUGUAUGUUUGAAAGAUCAAAAUAUGCCCCAAGUCACAUUACACGACACUUAUAUCCUGCCCUAAGGUAACUUGUCAAGAAUUCCAUGUAUUUCAUUAAAAUGAUCUC